UUUGUUCUUCUGCUCGUCCUCGUUGUUGCUGCUGUCUUGUGUUGCUUCUAUAAACGUAUGGAAAUUGCAAGAUUCAUACUACGGGAAGAAGGCGGCACACGAGGCAAGAGGCAAAAGGUUCCAACGACUUAAUUCCUGACGCAGCCGUUAGUGAAAAUAGGCAGUAUUCCUGGUGCUUUACAUUUUGAUGUCAUUGACAUUGGUUUUAAAAAUAGCCAAUUUCUCAAUUCAGAUAUUUAAAGUUAUUGUUGCCAAAUAUUACAACUGAACAGCUAGUAGUAUUAUCAAAAAAAGAAUGUCAAAAAUGAACCUGAAGGUUAAGAGCUUUUCUGAA